CGCACUCGCGCCCGCUCCUCCCGCACGCGCGCCGCGCCUCACCUCUCUCUCCCCCUCCAAACCCUACCCCGCGCCCGCCUCCCCGCCCUGCCACCGGCGCCGCCGCGCCGCUCGCCCGGGCACCCAUCCCUGGCCUCACGCCGCCCAUCUAGAGAGAUGGUGGCCGCGCGCGAUGAGGCCGGCCUAGCCGCCGCCUCCUUCUCCCGCGACCGCGCCGCCCUCUCCUCCUUCCUCACGCCGCCGCCCUCUCCUCCUUCCUCCCGCCUCCCUGCCGUGCCGCCCCGCCGCCUCCUCCCUCGCUCGCUUCCUCUCCUCCCGCAGCCGCCUCCCUCCCUCCCUCACUCGCUCCUAAUCCGGCGACGGCGGCGGCGGCUGCCGCGCCCACGCCCGUCUGCUCCCCGCCGCCAUCACCUCCUUCGUCCGGCCGGCGACCCAUGCCGCGUCCGUCUGCUCUGCCCGCACUCGUGCCGCCCCCUCUCCUCUUCCUCCCGCCUCACCUCUCUCUCUCCCUCCUAACGCCCAAACCCUAACCCCCGCCCCGGCCCCGGCUCCUGCUGGAGGGAAGGAGGAACGGCGAGGCGAGGCAAAGGUGGCGGCGUAGGGGACGCAUCAUCCCCUCCAAGAGCCUCGGAAGGCAAAUGGGGAAGCUGCUGCGGGUUCUUCGACCUCCCCUGCCUCAUCCCGUCUCUAUAGGUGCAGCAUGUAGAUCGGCCAGAGGAGGUGGUUGUGGAGGAGCAGGCCAACACCCCUCCCUCUUCACCUCCCACCCAGCACUGUGCAGGGUGCAUGAGCAGGCCUACAUAUUUCUCAAAAGAGCACGCCGUUGCCAACGACUGGAGAAGCGCCAGCCACCGAGUCGGACGUCCACUUCGCCAUUGCCGUCGUCCUCGCCCGGCAGAAGCAGCUCUAGGGAUUUGCCCUAGUGGGUCCAUGGCAGGAAAUACUGAUGAAAAAAAUUGACGUCGACUGGCGAUAUACGGAGAUGAAUAGUGAUGUACGCGAGCGCCCGGGCUCGUCCUUGUGAAAUGCACGUUACCCUGACGAGCCGAGCCGUGGAUCGGGUCCGUCACGAGAACCUGACCCAAAGAUCAGAAACGUAAUCGCCGUCUGCUGCGUAGACACGCGCCGUCUGUUGCAGGCCCAGCCAGCGGCCAACCGUGUCCUGACGGAACCCAUCACUCAAACAGCCACAAUUCCUUUUUCCUAAUUUACAGAAUAUCUUUUUGCCUUGCCUUAUCCUGUUCCACACUCCAAAGCCACUCCUUGUACAGCUCCGUGAAAGAGGAUUCCAACGAGGUGAGGUCCGCCGCUCGGCGCCGUAGCUGGCGGCCAGACGGGAGUUGUCGCGGCUAGCGCCGCCCGCCUCCGGCCUGCUGCGCCGCGUGGGGCAGUGGCCUUGACUGGAGGCAAGAUGGGGUCCGUGCAAGCUAAGCUAACUCCGCUCGCUUCAGCGGCGCUGCACCGCACGGGGCUGUAUCCUUGGCCGGUGGGAAGACGGGGGCCGUCGCGGCUAGCUCCGCCCGCCUCCAGCGAGUCCAAGGCUGUGGCCGACCCGCUCCCUCGUAGAAGGUGGAACCACAGUGCGUGCACCCAGUCGGCGGGCGCGGCCGUGGCCGGUGGCGAGAUGCCGCGGGAGGUCGUUGGGUCACACUUGAAGAAGGCGUGAGCUCGAUGCAUCUCAACAGGCAAAGGUGAUUCUAGUUGCUUGCUUCCAUCUAUGUACUAGCUAACCAGCUCUCACUUAUCCACGUAUUGACAUACUCCCUCCGUCCAGUGAAGAGUGUACAUCUAGGUUCAAAAUUUGUCCACAAAAGAGUGUACUUCUAUCUUUCCAAUGCAUUUUAAAGUUGGCAAAAAUACUUCUCUCUCAUCACACGGUAAUCAAGACCAAUAGCAAUCUACACAUGGUCUUCUUAAUUUCUACAUGCACUUAGCUCAUUGGAAGGCGGGUAAUUAAAGAGGAGAGAGAUAGUGGCUUGCACCUUUCCAAUGCAUUUUUUACUCAACUCCAUAAUUUGUCAUAAAAUUUCUAGAUGUACACUCUUCACCGGACGGAGGGAGUAUGCACGUACUGAAAAUUGGAAGUAUACGAGCUAUCCAGCUUCAUCUAUACAUCUUCUCUACUUUUUAAUCACACAAGUGUAGGUGAAAUCACAAAUUGGCGAAAAAUCCUUUCAAAUUCAGUGCCCAAGACCACAUUUAACUGGAAAGCUAAUCCGUGAAAAAAUUACCAGCAACUAAUCAAUAUCUUUCUUGACGGUAGAACAGUUACACAUCUAACAUCAAAAGGAAUAGUAAGGUGAAUUACUACAUCUCAAGGGGAAGUAUUACAUCUGAAGGUAAUUGUUUUGUAGAGCAAUAAUCCUCAGAAGCAAAGUUUAUAGAGAGCUAUUCAAAAGUGUCUCUCUUGUGCAUGACUUGAUUGGCUACCCAAGUCUUGAAAAUAGAAAGGAACGAUUUUGUAUGAGAAAUAAACUUGAAUUUGAGAGUACGACUUGUAAGUGAAACAAUACCUUAGCGGGCAGCUGGUCAUUUUGAUUUGUUGGCCAUCCCGAGCCCGGUAACACAACAGAUAUCUACAUUCUUAAUCCAAAAGUUAAUGCAAGUGAAUGACUAGCAGAACUCUACAUUUUGAUUUGUUGGCCAUCCCGAGCCCGGUAACACAAUAGAACUCUACCUCGGUGAUUCUUCUGAGCGAAACAAAUACACUGGAAAGAGGAAGCAGUCGCCGACCCAGUCGGCCGAGUCCACCGGUAAGGUGAACCCGGAGGCACCGGGAUGGACAAGAAGGUUACGAAUUGGGCGUGCCCCUCCGGAUAGAGCACCCUGUGCUGGUAGAGUCACUCCUUUAGAGGAAACAAUAAGGAGAUGCGCUGAUAAACCGUCAGACAAUGUAAUAAAGCCAGAGAUUUGUAUGAGUUUUGAUUCCCUUGGAGAAGCAUACGAUUUCUAUAACUUGUAUUCUUGGGAGGUUGAAUUUGGUAUAAGAUAUGGCAAGAGCCGUUUGAACGUCGAGCGGACAAAGUGUUUGCAAGAGAUCGUCUGUGGAUGCUCGGGAAAACCAGAGCAACAGAAUAGCUGGUCUUGCCGCUGCGAGUGCCCUGCGAUGACACAGGAGGCAAGAGAAAGGAGUCCCCGACUCAGUCCGUGGAAUCAUCCGGGAAAGUGAACCCAGAGGCACCAGGAUGGACUAAGAGGUUGAGAGUUGGCCGUGCACCCCCUGAUAGACACCGUGCGUUGGCAGAGUUACUCCAUUCGAAGAAACAAUCAGGAGGUACGCUGAUAAGCCAUCAGACAAUGUGGUCAAGCCAGAAACUGGAAUGAGUUUUGACUCUCGGGGAACGUAUGAUUUCUACAAUCUUUAUUCAUGGGAGCUCGGAUUUGGUAUAAGAUAUGGCAAGAGCGAUCUGAAUGUCGAGCUGACGAAAGGUAUGCAGGAAAUUGUGUGUGGAUGCUCGGGGAGGCCUGAGCAGCAAAACAGCCGGUCUUGCCGGUGCAAAUGCCCUGCAAUGUUUUCGAGGAUGGGGCUUACUAGGUCGAGGAAAUUGAAAGGAAGAAGAAGUACAUUGCAAGACACAACAAUGCCGACAACCGUGGGAAGUGGAGCAAGGUUGUUUAUGAGGUGACCAUGUUGGACGAUGGCGAGUGGUUCGAGUGUGAAUGCGGGCAUUUCACUCACAUGGGAAUGCUGUGCUGCCAUGCUUUCAAGGUGAUAGAUUAUGUUGGCGUGACGCAGAUACCGAAGCGGCACAUCCUCAAGAGAUGGACGAAAAAUGCUAGGGACAUCCUGGCCCAGCACCUUGCUCACUUCCAAAGAGACCAAGUGGUGAACCGAUCUUUCAUCUGUCGGAGCUCGAUCCUUUACCUAGAUGCCAUGCAUGGAGCUGGUUAGGUUUGGGGAUUAAUCCGUCAUAACAUAUGCGCUCGUGCUGGGUCAGAUAUGUUGGGGAACGUAGCAGAAAUUCAAAAUUUUCUGCGCAUCACCAAGAUCAA